rnacentral:rRNA from 1 species
UGCAAGUCGAGCGGGCAUCUACGGAUGUCAGCGGCGGACGGGUGAGUAACACGUGGGUAACCUGCCUGACAGACCGGGAUAACGCCUGGAAACGGGUGCUAAUACUGGAUACGCCAUUUUAGGCGCAUGCCUUGGAUGGGAAAGGUGCUUAGGCACUACUGACAGAUGGGCCCGCGGCGCAUUAGCUGGUUGGUGGGGUAACGGCCCACCAAGGCGACGAUGCGUAGCCGACCUGAGAGGGUGACCGGCCACACUGGGACUGAGACACGGCCCAGACUCCUACGGGAGGCAGCAGUAGGGAAUCUUCCACAAUGGGCGCAAGCCUGAUGGAGCAACGCCGCGUGAGUGAAGAAGGCCUUCGGGUUGUAAAGCUCUGUCAAGCGGGAAGAGAGACAGCGGGAGGGAAUGCCUGCUGGAGGACGGUACCGUUUGAGGAAGCCCCGGCUAACUACGUGCCAGCAGCCGCGGUAAUACGUAGGGGGCAAGCGUUGUCCGGAAUCACUGGGCGUAAAGGGCGCGUAGGCGGUGACCUUAGUCUGGGGUGAAAACCCGGAGCUCAACUUCAGGAUUGCCCUGGAAACUGGGUGACUUGAGUACCGGAGAGGCAAGGGGAAUUCCACGUGUAGCGGUGAAAUGCGUAGAGAUGUGGAGGAAUACCAGUGGCGAA